GAUGGGGAGCGAAAUUUAGUAGCGAAGUAGCUGAUUUCACACUGUCAAGAAAAGUCUCUAUCGAGGUUAAAGGUACCCGUACCGCAAACCGACACAGGUGGGUGAGGAGAGUAUCCUAAGGCCAGCGAGAGAACUGUUGUUAAGGAACUCGGCAAAAUGACCCCGUAACUUAGGGAUAAGGGGUGCCACCAUCCGGUGGCCGCAGAGAAUAGGCCCAAGCGACUGUUUACCAAAAACAUAGGUUUCUGCUAAGUCGCAAGACGAUGUAUAGGAGCUGACGCCUGCCCGGUGCUGGAAGGUUAAGGGGAUCUGUUAGAGCAAUCGAAGCAGUGAACUUAAGCCCCAGUAAACGGCGGCCGUAACUAUAACGGUCCUAAGGUAGCGAAAUUCCUUGUCGGGUAAGUUCCGACCCGCACGAAAGGCGUAACGAUUUGGGCACUGUCUCAACAACAGACUCGGUGAAAUUGUAAUUCCGGUGAAGAUGCCGGAUACCUGCGACAGGACGGAAAGACCCCAUGGAGCUUUACUGUAGCUUGACAUUGGGUCUUGGUACUACAUGUACAGGAUAGGUGGGAGGCUUUGAAACCAGGACGCCAGUUUUGGCGGAGCCAUCCUUGGGAUACCACCCUUGUAGUACUGGGACUCUAACCAUAGGCCAUGAAUCUGGUCUUGGGACACUGUCAGGUGGGCAGUUUGACUGGGGCGGUCGCCUCCCAAAAGGUAACGGAGGCGCUCAAAGGUUCUCUCAGUACGGUCGGAAAUCGUACGUAGAGUGUAAAGGCAAAAGAGAGCUUGAUUGCAAGACAUACAGGUCGAGCAAGGAUGAAAAUCGGACUUAGUGAUCCGGUGGUUCUGCGUGGAAGGGCCAUCGCUCAACGGAUAAAAGCUACCCUGGGGAUAACAGGCUUAUCUCCCCCAAGAGUCCACAUCGACGGGGAGGUUUGGCACCUCGAUGUCGGCUCAUCACAUCCUGGGGCUGUAGUAGGUCCCAAGGGUUGGGCUGUUCGCCCAUUAAAGUGGUACGCGAGCUGGGUUCAGAACGUCGUGAGACAGUUCGGUCCCUAUCCGUCGCAGGCGUAGGAAAUUUGAGAAGACCUGUCCUUAGUACGAGAGGACCGGGAUGGACG
rnacentral:rRNA from 1 species